rnacentral:rRNA from 1 species
GACGUAGGGCGCGAGCGUUGUCCGGAUUUAUUGGGCGUAAAGAGCUCGUAGGCGGCUUGUCGCGUCGAAUGUGAAAACCCACGGCUCAACUGUGGGCUUGCAUUCGAUACGGGCAGGCUAGAGUUCGGUAGGGGAGACGUGGAAUUCCUGGUGUAGCGGUGAAAUGACGCAGAGUAUCAGGAGGAACACCGGUGGCGAAGGCGGGUCACUGGCCAUAUACUGACGCUGAAACACGAAAGCGUGGGUAGCAAACAGG